rnacentral:rRNA from 1 species
CACGUAGGGCGCAAGCGUUGUCCGGAAUUAUUGGGCGUAAAGAGCGUGUAGGCGGCCCGAUAAGUCCGCUGUGAAAGUCCAGGGCUCAACCCUGGGAUGCCGGUGGAUACUGUCGGGCUCGAGUCCGGAAGAGGAGUGUGGAAUUCCUGGUGUAGCGGUGAAAUGCGCAGAUAUCAGGAGGAACACCCGUAGCGAAGGCGGCACUCUGGGCCGAUACUGACACUGAGGAGCGAAAGCGUGGGGAGCGAACAGG